rnacentral:RNase_P_RNA from 1 species
AAAGCGAUUGUCGCAGGCAGGAGUGAUUCUGCGUGAGGAAAGUCGGGACAGCACAGAGCGCCAUACUUCUUAACAGGAAGGUAUCUGAAAAGAUAACAGCAAGUGCCACAGAAAACUACCGCUCUUCGGAGUAAGGGUGAAAAUGUGAGGUAAGAGCUCACGCGAAUCUAUGGUGACAUAGGUUCGGGGUAAACCUUAUGGGCUGCAAGACCAAAUACACCGACGUUUGAGGGCUGCUCGUCCGAGUCGGGAGGGUAGGUUGCUUGAGUCUGUCGGCAACGUCAGACCUAGAGAAAUGACAAUCACCUUGGAAACAAGGAACAGAAUCCCGCUUAUGCUUUUAGU